rnacentral:rRNA from 1 species
AUGAACGCUGGCGGCGUGCUUAACACAUGCAAGUCGAACGAUGAYCCGGUGCUUGCACCGGUGAUUAGUGGCGAACGGGUGAGUAACACGUGAGUAACCUGCCCUUAACUCUGGGAUAAGCCUGGGAAACUGGGUCUAAUACCGGAUAUGACUCCUCAUCGCAUGGUGGGGGGUGGAAAGCUUUUUUGUGGUUUUGGAUGGACUCGCGGCCUAUCAGCUUGUUGGUGAGGUAAUGGCUCACCAAGGCGACGACGGGUAGCCGGCCUGAGAGGGUGACCGGCCACACUGGGACUGAGACACGGCCCAGACUCCUACGGGAGGCAGCAGUGGGGAAUAUUGCACAAUGGGCGCAAGCCUGAUGCAGCGACGCCGCGUGAGGGAUGACGGCCUUCGGGUUGUAAACCUCUUUCAGUAGGGAAGAAGCG